AGAGUUUGAUCCUGGCUCAGGAUGAACGCUGGCGGCGUGCCUAAUACAUGCAAGUCGAACGAAACUUCUUUAUCACCGAGUGCUUGCACUCACCGAUAAAGAGUUGAGUGGCGAACGGGUGAGUAACACGUGGGCAACCUGCCCAAAAGAGGGGGAUAACACUUGGAAACAGGUGCUAAUACCGCAUAACCAUAGUUACCGCAUGGUAACUAUGUAAAAGGUGGCUAUGCUACCGCUUUUGGAUGGGCCCGCGGCGCAUUAGCUAGUUGGUGAGGUAAAGGCUUACCAAGGCAAUGAUGCGUAGCCGAACUGAGAGGUUGAUCGGCCACAUUGGGACUGAGACACGGCCCAAACUCCUACGGGAGGCAGCAGUAGGGAAUCUUCCACAAUGGGCGAAAGCCUGAUGGAGCAACGCCGCGUGGGUGAAGAAGGUCUUCGGAUCGUAAAACCCUGUUGUUAGAGAAGAAAGUGCGUGAGAGUAACUGUUCACGUUUCGACGGUAUCUAACCAGAAAGCCACGGCUAACUACGUGCCAGCAGCCGCGGUAAUACGGAAGGUCCAGGCGUUAUCCGGAUUUAUUGGGUUUAAAGGGAGCGCAGGCGGACUCUUAAGUCAGUUGUGAAAUACGGCGGCUCAACCGUCGGACUGCAGUUGAUACUGGGAGUCUUGAGUGCACACAGGGAUGCUGGAAUUCAUGGUGUAGCGGUGAAAUGCUCAGAUAUCAUGAAGAACUCCGAUCGCGAAGGCAGGUAUCCGGGGUGCAACUGACGCUGAGGCUCGAAAGUGCGGGUAUCAAACAGGAUUAGAUACCCUGGUAGUCCGCACAGUAAACGAUGAAUACUCGCGGUUGGCGAUACAUUGUCAGCCGCCAAGCGAAAGCGUUAAGUAUUCCACCUGGGGAGUACGCCGGCAACGGUGAAACUCAAAGGAAUUGACGGGGGCCCGCACAAGCGGAGGAACAUGUGGUUUAAUUCGAUGAUACGCGAGGAACCUUACCCGGGCUUGAACUGAGGGGGAAUGAGCCAGAGAUGACUCAGUCUUCGGACUCCCUUGGAGGUGCUGCAUGGUUGUCGUCAGCUCGUGCCGUGAGGUGUCGGCUUAAGUGCCAUAACGAGCGCAACCCUCAUCCUCGUUUGCCAUCAGGUAAUGCUGGGCACUCCGGGGAUACUGCCAUCGUAAGAUGUGAGGAAGGUGGGGAUGACGUCA
rnacentral:rRNA from 1 species